CCAAAAAAACUAGCGGAUGAGCUGUGGAUAGGGGUGAAAGGCUAAACAAACUUGGAAAUAGCUGGUUCUCUCCGAAAACUAUUUAGGUAGUGCCUCAAGUAUUACCGUCGGGGGUAGAGCACUGUUUUGGCUAGGGGGUCAUGGCGACUUACCAAACCAAGGCAAACUCCGAAUACCGACGAGUACAGCUUGGGAGACAGAGCACCGGGUGCUAACGUCCGGACUCAAGAGGGAAACAACCCAGACCGCCAGCUAAGGUCCCUAAAAUUGGCUAAGUGGGAAACGAAGUGGGAAGGCUAAAACAGUCAGGAUGUUGGCUUAGAAGCAGCCAUCAUUUAAAGAAAGCGUAAUAGCUCACUGAUCGAGUCGUCCUGCGCGGAAGAUGUAACGGGGCUAAGCCAGUUACCGAAGCUGCGGAUUUGCAAUUUAUUGCAAGUGGUAGGAGAGCGUUCUGUAAGCCUGUGAAGGUGUGUUGUAAAGCACGCUGGAGGUAUCAGAAGUGCGAAUGCUGACAUGAGUAGCGUUUAAGGGGGUGAAAAGCCCCCUCACCGUAAGCGCAAGGUUUUCUACGCAACGUUCAUCGGCGUAGAGUGAGUCGGCCCCUAAGGCGAGGCAGAGAUGCGUAGCUGAUGGGAAACAGGUCAAUAUUCCUGUACCGAUGUGUAGUGCGAUGUGGGGACGGAGAAGGUUAGCUCAGCCAACUGUUGGAUAUGUUGGUUCAAGCCUGUAGUCGUGCCUGGUAGGUAAAUCCGCCGGGCUUAGAUGAGGGGUGAUAACGAGGCUGCUUGCAGCCGAAGUGAGUGAUACCCUGCUUCCAGGAAGCCACUAAGCUUCAGCUACACACGACCGUACCGCAAACCGACACUGGUGCGCGAGAUGAGUAUUCUAAGGCGCUUGAGAGAACUCAGGAGAAGGAACUCGGCAAAUUGACACCGUAACUUCGGAAGAAGGUGUGCCUUUAGUAGGUGAACCUGUACAAGGGGAGCCCAAUGAGGUUGCAAAAAAUCGGUGGCUGCGACUGUUUAAUAAAAACACAGCACUCUGCAAACACGAAAGUGGACGUAUAGGGUGUGACGCCUGCCCGGUGCUGGAAGAUUAAAUGAUGGGGUGCAAGCUCUUGAUUGAAGUCCCAGUAAACGGCGGCCGUAACAAUAACGGUCCUAAGGUAGCGAAAUUCCUUGUCGGGUAAGUUCCGACCUGCACGAAUGGCGUAACGAUGGCCACACUGUCUCCUCCUGAGACUCAGCGAAGUUGAAAUGUUUGUGAUGAUGCAAUCUCCCCGCGGAAAGACGGAAAGACCCCAUGAACCUUUACUGUAGCUUUGUAUUGGACUUUGAACAGAUCUGUGUAGGAUAGGUGGGAGGCUUUGAAGUGUGGUCGCUAGAUCGU
rnacentral:rRNA from 1 species